rnacentral:rRNA from 1 species
GACGUAGGGCGCGAGCGUUGUCCGGAUUUAUUGGGCGUAAAGAGCUCGUAGGCGGCUUGUCGCGUCGACUGUGAAAACCCGCGGCUUAACUGUGGGCUUGCAGUCGAUACGGGCAGGCUAGAGUUCGGUAGGGGAGACUGGAAUUCCUGGUGUAGCGGUGAAAUGCGCAGAUAUCAGGAGGAACACCGGUGGCGAAGGCGGGUCUCUGGGCCGAUACUGACGCUGAGGAGCGAAAGCGUGGGGAGCGAACAGG